UCUAGAGUGUAUUACCUAAGGGCUUCCUGUCUAUCAGUGCAGCUAUCUCUUUUGUCCCCACAGAUGUUCCUGCCACUGUUUGAAAAGCAUUAGUAAAAGUAAGCAUCUGAUCAACAAUAAUAUUUCCCAAUCUCUGGUACAUCUUCGGAAUUCUAAACCAUCUAUGAUGGACUUGGAGGAAUGGAGAAUCCCUACUGACUUCUGCUAAGAGGUGAGCUCCUUAACAGUAGAUAUUCUGAAGCACAGGAGAUACAUUAAUCCACAUGACCAAUGAGAUGUGUUCAAAGGCAAUAUUUAUAAACUAUUGUCUCCUAUUGAGAAGAUGGAAGAAUUUCCUGGGACAAAAUGUAUCUACUGAUAUAAAUAUUUAAAUAUUUUAUCUUCUUUCCUUUGUUUUAUGAUUGAUUAAAAAUAUAUCACUGCAUCUAUUGAUAUUCUUACAUUCCAGUCAUUUGACAGAUAGCAAACAUGAUCCUACAGUCUAACUUUCUAAAAGAAAAGCAGGAUUUCUCUAGGAGUAAUAACUUAAGGGUUAUUUCAAGUGAUCAUAAUUUUGAGUUUGAUUAGUCUUCAUUUAGUGAGUUCUUGAGAAAUGAGCCUCUUAGAGAAAGGAUUACUCACAUGGUAUUCCACAGCUAAAGAAAAUUAUAUAUCACUGGAAUAUCAGGGUAUAGCCUGAUAGAGAGAAGGAAUUUUAGAGCCAUCAAGUCUAAUACAUAUCUAAAAAAAGAAUCUUCUCCACAAUAUAUCUACAAUGUAUUAAGUCAGCUUUUUACUUGAAAUUCACCCAUUAAGGGAAAUGCUCCAGAACUCUCAGAACCUUCAGACAAGUCUAUUCCUACUUUGGAUAAAUAGCACUUCUUAAGAAGUUUCUAUUUCUCCCCAUAAUUUCCACAAAUUGUUUCUAGUUCCAAAAUGAAGAACUCUAAUUCCUUUUCCACAUUAAAAUUGUUCAAUGACUCAAAGAUCAUUCCUUCUAUAUCUUUUCUUUUCCAAACCAAAUAUUUCAACUUCUCCAAUAAAUUUUCACAUGACAUGGAUUCAAGGACUUUCACUAUACUGAUUGUCCUCAUCCAGAUACUCUCCACAUUAUCAAUGGCUUUUCCAAAUUGCAUUAUCCAGAACUGAACCAGAACACAGAAAAGUCCAUUGCUUUCUUAUUCCUGGAACUGAGAUCUCUCAGAGUUGCAGAGGAUUGUACUAGCUCUUUUAGCUGUUGUAUCAAGCUACUGACACAUGUUAUCUCUAGCUGAUCUUUCGGGGCUAACCACAAUCUAUUCCCUCCACAAUGUCUACAUUUUAGCCAAACUGAUCUAUUUUAUGUCCUUUAUUUGACAGCUUUCUAUGUGCCAGCUGCCAUGUUAAUUUAUUAUUAUCUCCAUUUUAUGGAUGAGGACACUGAGACAAAAGAGGUUAAGUAAUAACUCAGGGUCAUACAACUAGUAAAUGCAUGAGGUUUGAUUUGAACUCAGUUUUUCUUGACUCAAGUCCCAAUGCUGUGCUUCCUCUGUUCCUUUGCAAAAAAGCACAGUUCCAGGGCCCCCUCCUAUAAGAAAUUGGUUCUUAUUGCUAAGCAGACCUCAAACUACUUUAAAUUUCUCAUGUAACUAGUUUUAUCAACUUAGCUAUGUGUAUGGAUUUUUAUCCAAUCAAUAAAAAUGUUCCCUCUCUUUAUAUUCCCAAGGUCUCUUGCCGUGCCUGCCACUUAAUAAAAUGCUUGUGGACAUUAAAUGUGGUAGCUACGUAUGUGCUUAUUAGGUUAGAGGGCAGAUGUGUUGGAUCCACAGAAAUGAGGUGAAAAUAACAAGAUGGUGAUAACAUUGGCAUUUAAAUAGAACUCCAAAUUGGCAAAUUGUUUAACAUUAUCUCCAAACAAUGAUCUCCCAGCAAUUCUUUAAAGCAGAUUUUAUAGGAAUUAUUGCCAUCUUUCAGAAGGAAACAUGGAAACUCUGCAUUCAAGCAAUUUGUCCAAAGGUACACAGCUAGUCACUGACAGAGCCAGCGUUUGAGCCCAGACUUCUGUGAUUCCCUCUCCACUCUUUGAAAUCCCAAGAAAAGAAUUCUCUUUGGUUUUGUGUGUUCUUAUAAUUCAUACUAUCAAAAUAUUCAUAGCACCAAAAAAAAUAGAACCAGACUUCUAUCCUGUUAGACUUAAAGAGAUCUUAGAGAUCGCCUAAAAUGGUCCAAAAAGACUGCCGGGGUAAAGGAAGAAUAACAAUGCUAGCAAACUGUGUUUGUGAUUCACUAAACUACACACUGAAUGCCACGGAGGUGUCCUCACUUACAUCAGCUUUCUCCUUGCUAGUAACAUUUUCUUUAAUGCCAAGUAACAAAGAGAACACCCCAGGUGUGAUGGCGUGUUUCACCAGGGAGAGAAGAGAAUCCUCAGCAGCCAGUCAAGACUACCUACUGUUUGUGAGAGCUGUGCAGCCUGACAGCCUUGUCACAAUAAACCUCAGAACUUCAGGGAUUACUGGGGAUGCCAGGAGUACAGAGACGCAGUGGAUGCAUCUCCUGGUGUAAAGUCAGGAAAAUAUGUUUAAAUCCAGCCUUGGAUACUUUUUAGGUAUGUGAACCUGAAGAAUUUCAGGAAAAGAAGUUUGCUAAAUCCUCGAAUCCAGAAGAAUGAACUCUUUGAACAAAUAUGCUUGCAGAAACCUACACUGCAUCAAGAAUAGCCAGAAUGAACUUUUGGGUACAAUCAUUUGAAUAAAAAGGAA